rnacentral:tRNA from 1 species
GCAUGGCUCAAUGGCAGAGUGCUAGUCUAGCAAUUUUAAGGCUCUGGGUUCAGUUCCCAGUGC